UGGCAAGGUUAGUUGAGGGGGGGGGGGAGGCAAGCCGCACACGUAUAGACUCCAUCCCGCAAUUUAAAUUAAGUUGUCUGCUUUUGUAAAAUCUAUACUAUUCAGGGAAGACGACUUGGUUACACGGGAGAAGUUGAAGGAGGACGCACAAUCCUUGAGAAGUUGAAGGAGGACGCACAAUCCUUCUAUAUACAAUUAUUAAUGUCCGUUCUUUUUAUACAAGAAUUUUUAAACGUUUUAAUCACAAAACAAUUUAAUUUCCAUGCUCGGAAAUUCUAUAAAAACUUUUUAUAUUUAAUAUCUGAAUAUUUCAGAUAUUAUGUACGGCGCGUUCAAAGUACUGUACAUGAAAUAUCCAAGAACUGCGGAUAGGAUGUUUUAACCUACUGCAAUGCUCUACUCUUAGUAAUCAUAGGUACAUUUUUAAACAUAUAUAAACAAUUGUAAAGAAGUUUGCAUUAUAAAAAAAAUAACCAAUUUGUAAAUCUAGAUCUGAAGUUAUAGCAACUACUGACGAUCUACACCUCUACCUGUACGUUCUUGCAGUCUCUGUAGCACUUUUAGAGACUGAAGGAGCGUGUAGAGUGUGACCGGCUGAUCGAGCUCUCAGCUUUAAGUAUAUAGAACCUGAAUUGCACGGAGACGAGUUUCCCUGCAGACCUUUCUAGCGAAGUCGUACUAAACUUCGCUCAACGGAUCCUGUUUAUUGUGAAUCCACUACAGGUAUAUAUCUCUCAUAAGAAACAUUUGAACAUUUAAAGAGAGUAUAUAACCUGAGCAUGAAAAGAAUCGGUAUCUUUUUUCAUGACUUAUCAAAGUUUAAUCGAGUUUUAAACUUUAGAUCGCUGGGUGUGAGCGAUCCUGAUCUCUAUAGGUUGUCAUGCUACAAAAUGAUCCUAUAGACGUCGACUAUCAACCAUGAAGCAAGCUUUAAACCUGUGAACAUGACUAUCUCUCUUGUAACUGGAUAAUGUCCGUAAUUUAUCACCUGAUUAGAGGAUAAAUAAAUACAUAAACUAUUUUGGAGUUAUCUUCUAUACUUCGAGUUAUAAAGAGGAAUUAUUAUACCACGGUACAAAAUCUUCAGCACGUCUAUGAGACACGUGCGACCCACGAAGUGAGAGAUAAAAGUCAUUUAAAGAUACACUUUGAAACCCUAUAAACCCUAAAGUC
rnacentral:lncRNA from 1 species